rnacentral:sRNA from 1 species
AAGGACAUUUCACAUCAUUCGCCAGGAUUACGCAAAUGUUGCCCAAGAAGUGCCACCGAACAUGCAGGAUCCUUAUCAUCAUCAUCCCCCCAUCCAAAAGGGG